ensembl:lincRNA
AUGCAUCGCGGGGCAAAUGUUUGCAGGAGGCGGCCGGCGGCUGGCGGCUGGCCCUGCUGCAUUCCUGCCCCGGACACAGCCUGUCUUUCAGGGCAGCUGGGUUUGAGCUCACGCUUUGACACCGGGGAACAAAAGAAGGGGCCUGAAACACACUUGCAAAUCGCUGGGAACCCUGCGUGGAUACCACAGCCGGGCUUCACUCUGCAGCCAGGCUGGCCUUGGGUUCACUGUGCAGCCCAGGCUGCUCGCAAACUUGCAGAGAUCCUCCCGCCUCAGCCUCCCAAGUGUGGCAUGACAGGUGUGCGCCACAUGCCCGGCUUGAAACUGAAUUCUGGCUCACGCUCAUCGCGCCCUGGCCAAAAGGAAGGAAGGAAGGAAGGAAGGAAGGAAGGAAGAAAAAAGACCAAAAAGGGGGGGGGGACAGGGCCUAAUAUACCUUCUCUGGCCCUGCCCCUAUGACGUCACUUCCUCCCAUAAGCCCCGCCUUUUAAAGGGCCCUCCGCCUCCUAACAGCGCUAUGCUGGGCUCAAGCUCCCUGUGCACCCCCACACUGGCAAAGCUUUGGGAUCCAAACCGCCUUUUGCUUCUGUACUCAGGCAGGUACCACAGCGCCCAUCCUGUCCUCUUCUUAGAGGGACCCGGUCCCGUGGGGUCAGCCACCAUGGAGACUCAGUUUACCUUCUCUGGCUCUUUAGACACCCCGUCUCUACACGCAGCUGUAGUAAGGCUGGGAUCGGAGAUGCAGUCUAUGAACAGCCACUCGAGACUGAGGCAGGAGGAUCCCAAGUGUGAAUACAGACCAGGCCUCCUGCAACUCAGGAUCUUCCUGGCCUGCUGGAGACUUUCCUGCCUCUGCCUAGGUUCCCAUCCGUCUGCGGGAGCCCAGAGCCCCGGAUGGGUCCGCUGGCUCCUCCGGUGCUGGCGGGGAAGGUUGUCGGUCGAAACUGCUGACUCCUGUGUGCCAGUCUAAUUAGAUUCCCUCAGGAACUGAGCUGGUUUUGUGGCCUUGAACCCACAGGGAUCCUCCUGCCUCAGCCUCCCGAGCCCUGGCAUUGUAGGCUUGUGUUUCCACGUGUGACGCUUGACUGACUUCCUUAACUUUAUUUUUUUAUUAUUUUUUUUCCAAAUCCAUUUUAUUUCAAGGAGGAAAGCAAAAAGAAGAAAAUAAAUUAAAACAAAAUUUCAAAACACAUCAACUAGGGGGCAACUAUGGUCCAUACAUUGCACCUUGUCGUCCCCAGAUCAUUCACCCAGAGCAGGAGACAUCUGACUCAGUCCUCCGAACAAGACCAGCACUGUGUUUUAGUACACAUACACAUAUUUUGUUUCAGGUUCUCCCUCUAAUGAGACAACACGAUGUUUACUGUGUGUGUGAUUUAUUUCACUAAUGAUAUGGUCUCAAGUUGCACCCAUUUACCUAUGAAAGUCUCCAGUUUAUCCUUCUUUAUGGCCGAGUAGUACUCCAUUGUGUAGAAAUACCACCUCUGUGUUAUCCAUUCCUCAGUCCUUUAGGUUGCUUCCAAGAUCUGGCUAUUACAAAUUGUGCUGCUAUAAACAUGUGCAAACAUAUAUUGCUGAGGUAUGAUGUUUUUAAGUCUUUUGGGAAGACCUUCCCAAUUUUAAACUCCCACGCCCACAGUAAUGGAAGGAAGGCCCCACUGCUCUGUGGAAACCGCCAGUCCUAGCGCCAUAUUGGGUGUGGCAGCAGCACCAUGUUAGAUGUGGCGCCAUAUUGGAUGUGGCAGUGACGCUGGGCCCUGACAGCCUACUUCCUCUUUCUGACCCAGCCCGGCCCAGCCUGGUGGCCAGAGGGACACUGACUAGCCCGGAGGUAGAGAUUCACGUGGCUGACCACCGGGAAAAGUUUUCAGAUCGUGAAAACAGUGAUUGGGAGGAACUCACAAAGUACAAAGAAUUAAGAACAGAAAACUAUCAUCCGUGUUUAUACCCUUGAGAUAGGGUCUCACUAUAUUUUUUGGGAGUUUUUUUUGUCUCUUUUUUGUCAUUAUGCAGUUCAGGUUGGCCUUGAGCUCACUUUGUAGCCCAGGCUGGCCCUGAACUCGCAAUGAUCCUCCUGCCUCAGCCUCUCGUGUGCUGGGAUGACAGGCGUGCACCACCACGCCCGACCAGAUGCAACUUCUCAAAUAAAUGUUUUCAAUAAAAGAAAUGCA